rnacentral:rRNA from 1 species
AAGUCGUAACAAGGUUUCCGUAGGUGAACCUGCGGAAGGAUCAUUACAGAGAGGGGCUUCGCGCUCCAGGAGGCUCCGGCCUCCGCCUCUACACCCUAUGAUUACUUACCUUUUUGUUGCUUUGGCAGGCCUUAGGGUCAUGCCUAUGCCGGUCCGCCGGCGAGUGCCCGCCAAUAGCCCCCCCAAACUCAUGUUAUCGGUGUCGUCUGAGUACUAUACAAAUAAAUCAAAACUUUCAACAACGGAUCUCUUGGUUCUGGCAUCGAUGAAGAACGCAGCGAAAUGCGAUAAGUAAUGUGAAUUGCAGAAUUCAGUGAAUCAUCGAAUCUUUGAACGCACAUUGCGCCCCUCGGUACUCCGGGGGGCAUGCCUGUUCGAGCGUCAUUACAACCCUCAAGCGUAGCUUGGUAUUGGGUCUUCGCCCCCGGGGCGUGCCCGAAAAUUAUGGGCGGUCCGGUGUGACUUUUAAGCGUAGUAAAUUAUCUCCCGCUUUGAGAGCCUCGCAUCGUGCUUGCCAGACAACCCCACAAUUUGAUCAAUGAUUGACCUCGGAUCAGGUAGGGAUACCCGCUGAACUUAAGCAUAUCAAUAAGCGGAGGAAAAGAAACCAACAGGGAUUGCCUCAGUAACGGCGAGUGAAGCGGCAAUAGCUCAAAUUUGAAAUCUGGCUCUUUCAGGGUCCGAGUUGUAAUUUGCAGAAGAUGUUUCGGGAGCGGUUCCGGUUUAAGUCCCUUGGAACAGGGUAUCAUAGAGGGUGAGAAUCCCGUAUGUGACCGGUGACCGACCCCAUGUGAAACUCCUUCGACGAGUCGAGUUGUUUGGGAAUGCAGCUCAAAAUGGGUGGUAAAUUUCAUCUAAAGCUAAAUACUGGCCAGAGACCGAUAGCGCACAAGUAGAGUGAUCGAAAGAUGAAAAGCACUUUGGAAAGAGAGUUAAAAAGUACGUGAAAUUGUUGAAAGGGAAGCGCUCGCAACCAGACCUGCCCUCGAACGAUCAGCGGUAGUUCUCUGCCGUGCACUCGUUCGUGAUCAGGCCAGCAUCGGUUUCGGCGGCCGGAUAAAGAUCCUUGGAAUGUAGCUCCCUCCGGGGAGUGUUAUAGCCUUGGGUGCAAUACGGCCAGCCGGGACCGAGGACCGCGCUUCGGCUAGGAUGCUGGCGUAAUGGUUGUGAGCGACC